rnacentral:rRNA from 1 species
GAUGAACGCUGGCGGCGUGCUUAACACAUGCAAGUCGAACGGUGAAGCCCAGCUUGCUGGGUGGAUCAGUGGCGAACGGGUGAGUAACACGUGAGCAAUCUGCCCCUGACUCUGGGAUAAGCGCUGGAAACGGCGUCUAAUACUGGAUAUGAACCGUGGAGGCAUCUUCAACGGUUGGAAAGAUUUUUGGUCAGGGAUGAGCUCGCGGCCUAUCAGCUUGUUGGUGAGGUAAUGGCUCACCAAGGCGUCGACGGGUAGCCGGCCUGAGAGGGUGACCGGCCACACUGGGACUGAGACACGGCCCAGACUCCUACGGGAGGCAGCAGUGGGGAAUAUUGCACAAUGGGCGCAAGCCUGAUGCAGCAACGCCGCGUGAGGGAUGACGGCC